rnacentral:rRNA from 1 species
UUAGUGGCGGACUGGUGAGUAACGCGUGGGUAACCUGCCUUACACAGGGGGAUAACACCUGGAAACAGGUGCUAAUACCGCAUAAGCGCACAGGGCCGCAUGGCCCGGUGUGAAAAACUCCGGUGGUGUAAGAUGGACCCGCGUCUGAUUAGCUUGUUGGCGGGGUAGGGGCCCACCAAGGCGACGAUCAGUAGCCGGCCUGAGAGGGUGGACGGCCACAUUGGGACUGAGACACGGCCCAAACUCCUACGGGAGGCAGCAG